rnacentral:lncRNA from 1 species
UCAACAACAAUCUCAUGAUCAACAGCUCCUAAAUCGCGAUGCGUCAACAACUUCGAAUCCGAUGAACCCAACCCAUCUAGCUCCACAUUUACCCGCUACCAACCCAUUCGUGGUCUUCCUCACUCCGUCACACUCGAGUCCAUAUGAGAAAGACCUAGAAGCUUCUAGAAAAGUGAUGCAUCAGCCCCUUCUAAUGUUCGAAUCGUAGAUCUUUCGGGUUGAUUGGUACGAUUUCGUACGUAGUUGGGGGAUUUUCAUUGACUAUUGAAUACCAUUUAUUUUUUCGAAAUGGUAUUGGUCCACGUAUUUCAAUUUCUUUGAAAAUUGGCAAUUGAUACCAAUUAUUAGUUGGAAAUUACAUCUUUAGUUGGAAUUUCAAAUUACCUCCACAGAAAAUCCUGAAAUUACCCUCGAUUGGUCUCUGUAGAGAGCUCACUGAUGAGCUGGGAAGGGGUUGGAAUUUUUGGUAGUCUAAAAAGGUUGAAAAAAAUUUAGGGUUUUCGUUUUCAGCUUGAGAGUCUCUUUUAGGGUUGGAGUCCUGGGAGUCAGAAAUUGGGUUUUCGACUUUUGGGGUUCAAAAAUCAGAGUUUGAAGAUCCUGGGGGUCAGGAUUCUUUUUUAUGUUCUCUUCUUUGAGGGUUCAAAUUUUUGUCCAGCAAAUUCUAGGGCCUUUAUUCAGGGAAGACAGAAGCCGUGAGAAACGAAGUUUUUCGAAAGUCGGGUUAGGAACUCUAAAAUCAAAAAGUUAUUUCGCAUAAUUUUCUCGUCACUUCUUUCUGGAAGCUAGUCACUCAAUUGGGAGUACCCGAGUUGACAACAUCAAGUUCCCAGCAAUGAUUACUAUGCUGAUAGCUCGUUUGUUCCAUUUUGCUACCCCGAAGGAGGUAAACAUACUCUUACCCCUUUUAACUUAUCGAUUUCUUCUUUAUCCCUCUUUCUUUAUGGUAAUAUUUGUUUGUUUGUUGAUGAAUAAGGCUGGGUUGUUCGCUGUAAAAAGCCUUAAAGGCCGUAGGUUUUGUGAAAGCAAUGUUGUCUGUAUUGUCUGGUUAUGAUGGUUUUGCCUUAGUUUCUAUUGCUUAUUUUGACAUUGUUGAUUAGUUUUGUCCUGUUUCUUAUUAAGUAUAGUGACCGUUGUGUGGGUCGAUGGUUUAUCAUCUAGAGUUGCUCCUUUGAUGGUCGUUCUAUUAUUUAUCUAAGUGUCAUUGGGUUUCAUUCGUUGUUAUUGUAGUCUAAAGUAUUUAAUGAAAAAUCCAAAGAUCUCUCGACGGUCGUGUCGUUUGAUCGAAAGAGAGGAUUAGAAUGAUUUGAUGACUCAUUCGUUGUGACUGUUUGACAUAGUUUUGGACUGUGUAUUUUCCUACUCAGCUGGUAACAUUGCUAGCAGAGCUGCCUCUCAAGUCUCUUUGGCUUCUCACGUGCCAAAGGGAUAAUGAGUAAGAGCCAAGAUGGGCUAUAAAUGCCUGUGAUUCCUCGAUGAUCAUAUCGGCUACCAAAAGCUUAUCCUUUUGGGUUUGUCGAAAAAAGAGUGAGGAUGAGGAUAGUAGACUUUGCUACGUUUCCAUUUGGUUUAAUGGGUUAUGUCUUUUGCCUCGUCUUAAAACUCGAAUUUUAGACUCCCAUCCUUCCUUGGGUUUCAUCCUCAGUGGGGAGACACAUUAGAAGGAUAAACAUGGUAAUAUUUUGGGGUACUAGAUAUUCGAAUGUGUCCUGUUCAGGGCAGUAGCCUAAUUUUGUUGUUAUCAUACUGCAUAUAAUUUAUGUUCAGGCUAAGGAUUCCCAAGGAUCUUUCUUUGUCAACAAUAAUCAAGAAGGUAGGGAUGAAUUUGCAUUUAUGUUACAUUCAAUAUAGGAUUAGGGAUGGGACAACACAUCAUAACUGUUUGUCUUCAUCCUGAAAUACCUGCUGCCAGGACCUAAUGCGGCAGGUAACUUAAGCACUCUUCCAGAUUCAAAUAUUUUUUUUGUGGCCAGGUGUAAUUAAGCUGUUGUCAUUGUCGAGGUUAUUAUUUUAAGUGAUAGAAAAAGCUAAAAAUUGGAAGAAAAUUGGUUUUCUUCGAAAGGGUAAGAAGUCAGCUACGGCUGCGAAUCAUGAGACAAACAUUAGGGAUCUCGUUCUCCAGGCUACUGUUGUGUGCUUUAUGCUUCGACUUCCUGAUGUUUACCUCCUUGAUAGAAUUUAAUAGCAUGUAAAUGUCUUCAAAACCUCGUCCAUCUGCUGACUAUUAUGUUUAGCUCGACAGAAUUUUGAAAUCAGUUUUCCUUUAGUGGUGUUGUUGGAGUGACCGAACAUGAAUCAUAGGUUAUUCUGAUCAUGAACAUCUCUCAAACAAACUUACAGUAUGUUAUGCAUUAUCUACGUUGUCCCUCAUCAUACGCUCUUGGGUACCAAGCAUGUCGUUUAUGCCAGAAUGUAAAUAAAAGUUUGCAUCAAGACAUCAUUUACUUAGCAUGCUAUUUGACUAUAUGAACACACCCUCAUUCUUUCUAAUUAGUCUUUCCUACAUUUUUGCUUUCUCAUGUGAUCGAGUAUAAGUGGUCGCUCUAUGCUUUAUUUCUUCAAAUGCUCCUACGCUACAUACCUUAUUUAUUUCCUUGAUUGGAUUUUUGUGUUUACAUUUUUCAAUUCCCUUUCUUUUUUUAGUUGAUCAUGUCUUUACAUUCUUUAUCUCUCCUGUUUUGCAUGAAUCCACAGUGGAGUUCAAGUAGACUAUCUCCGGUGCAUUCCUCAUCGGGCCAAUGAGGCCUAUCUUAUUGAGUCCAGUCCAAUGACCUAAAAGUGACCCUGCGGUGAUGAAUACGAGGAGUUAGAAAAAGAAAGGCGAGUUAAAGACCCACAUUUAAAGUGGCUUGAGUAACUCUAAUCUUGAUGAUUUCUACCAUGAAAAUGGCCUUGGUAAAGGCAUGCACAUAAGGUGUUUGUGAAAAUGUCUAAGUAAAUUGUCUAGUCUUAUGUUGGUGAUGUUUUGAACAAGGAAAAUGACCCAAUAAGUAUGAAUUAUUAUUAUAUGAUAUUGUAAAAGUAUUACUAGCCAUGUAUUAUAAAAUUGAUGAUCGUGUUAGUUGAUGGUUAAUGAGGGGUUAAAGUUUCUAUUCAUGAAUAUGAACUUGAAUUGUGUGUUGAACUAAAGUGUGGUAAGAAUGUGGUCUAAGAUUACUAAUGAUAUGUGAACAGUUUGUGAAGGUCUUGAUGACCUUAAAUAGGAUUGUAUAAUAAAUUAAGUCAUUGGUCUAUUGAAAUAGUUGAGCAAUGAAGGCUCCCAUGAGAACCAUAUGGUCAUGUAUAGUAUUGAAUUGUCUAAAUGGGUUAAAGUCCUUAAGUGUGAAUUGAAUAGCUGAUGAUUUAUGGACAAAGGGUUGGAGUCCUAAUGUCGACUAGUGAUAGUCGUAAUGGCUCGAGGUUAAAGUCUCUUUCCUAAUGAAAGGGCUUGAGUUAAAGUCCCAUGCCUAAUGAAAUCGCUUAUGGUUAAAGUCCCUUGUACAAUAAGAUCUCUUGAGGUUGAAGUGCCUCGCCAAAUGAAAUGGCUUGGGUUAGAGUCCCCUAUCUAAUAAGGUAUGAGGUUAGAGUCCCUUGCCAAAUGUACAGGAAUGUGGUUAGGGUCCCUUGCCUAAAUGAAUGUGUGUGUGUGGUAAGAGUCCCUUGCCUAAAUGAAUAUGCAUGUGUGGUUAGAGUCCCUUGCUUAAAUGGAUAUGUGUGUGGUUAGAAUCCCUUGCUUAAUGAGUGUAUAGAUGGUUAAAGUCCUUAAUUUAAGUAAUAUAUAAAUGUGGUUGAAGUAUUAUACUUAAUAAGAAUUGUUUGAAUCUAAGUGUGGAAGGUCAGAGUCCUUCACUUUAUGUCUCAUGAUUGAGUGCUUUGAGAAUAUUGUUAAGGAUUGUUUACUUGUUUGGCAUGUGAUAUACCUACAUGUAUGGAUAAGGUCAUAAAGAUGGGUAAAUAUAAUAUAUUGACUUGUUGUUGAUUGAUGAUGUUAUUUUAUCCUUAUCCUAGAGUUAGAUGCUAGCGCUCCAAUUGCUAAUCAUCUCCGGAUGUUAUGUCCUUACACGACAUAGGGGUUGUUGACACCUAAUUUUUCCCCUCCACAACUACGUUUAAUCUCGAGUUUCUUCGAUUUUCAAAUAAAAUCACAACAAUUAUUUUUCCAAAUAAAGGCAUUUUAAAAUAGGCAUUUGGGCUAAUUUUGUCAUUUAAGUGAUAAUAAUAUAAUUUCGUAUUUGCAUAUACGAGAUUGUAUAAAUGAUGUCAUUUAAAUGAACAUCUUCAUCAAAUUGGGCUUUAAAUUAAGGAUUAUUUGAAAAAUAAAUAAAUAAUUAUAAUCUUAAUUUAAACAUCAUUUAUUCUGAAAAUAAUUUUGUUUGAUUUUAUCGAAUCAAGAAGUUUGGGGUUAAAACGGGUAUUAAUUCGUAUCGAAUUUAGUCUGUCUAUUAGAUUUGACCAUAAUUGAAAUCAAAUUGGCUAUGAUUGCAAUGCAAUUGACUAAUUAACUUUCAAUUUCGUUUAAAUUUAAAUAGAUGGCUAAAUUAGAACUGAAGUUAUUUCUGAACAACCUUUAGUCCAAUUGGGGUUUAUUUUUCCUAAAUUUAAUCGGGAUUAUUUUAACUUUUAACCCCAAUUAUUAACCCAAUUAAACUAAUACCAAUUGCCCAUUUCUUUUUCUUUUAAACGUUACCAGCCCAAUCCCUCCUAAAUAAUAUACUGCAGCCUCAAUUUGGCCCAAAUAUCCCAAUAAACCGCCCCAGCUAGCCCAACAAUAACAAUUUCUCCAACCAAGACCCCAACCCGGCCCAUUUCUUAUAAUCUUUAACAAUACUGCAGCUUCCAAACAGUGCCCAUAUCAACAACAAUCUCAUGAUCAACAGCUCCUAAAUCGCGAUGCGUCAACAACUUCGAAUCCGAUGAACCCAACCCAUCUAGCUCCACAUUUACCCGCUACCAACCCAUUCGUGGUCUUCCUCACUCCGUCACACUCGAGUCCAUAUGAGAAAGACCUAGAAGCUUCUAGAAAAGUGAUGCAUCAGCCCCUUCUAAUGUUCGAAUCGUAGAUCUUUCGGGUUGAUUGGUACGAUUUCGUACGUAGUUGGGGGAUUUUCAUUGACUAUUGAAUACCAUUUAUUUUUUCGAAAUGGUAUUGGUCCACGUAUUUCAAUUUCUUUGAAAAUUGGCAAUUGAUACCAAUUAUUAGUUGGAAAUUACAUCUUUAGUUGGAAUUUCAAAUUACCUCCACAGAAAAUCCUGAAAUUACCCUCGAUUGGUCUCUGUAGAGAGCUCACUGAUGAGCUGGGAAGGGGUUGGAAUUUUUGGUAGUCUAAAAAGGUUGAAAAAAAUUUAGGGUUUUCGUUUUCAGCUUGAGAGUCUCUUUUAGGGUUGGAGUCCUGGGAGUCAGAAAUUGGGUUUUCGACUUUUGGGGUUCAAAAAUCAGAGUUUGAAGAUCCUGGGGGUCAGGAUUCUUUUUUAUGUUCUCUUCUUUGAGGGUUCAAAUUUUUGUCCAGCAAAUUCUAGGGCCUUUAUUCAGGGAAGACAGAAGCCGUGAGAAACGAAGUUUUUCGAAAGUCGGGUUAGGAACUCUAAAAUCAAAAAGUUAUUUCGCAUAAUUUUCUCGUCACUUCUUUCUGGAAGCUAGUCACUCAAUUGGGAGUACCCGAGUUGACAACAUCAAGUUCCCAGCAAUGAUUACUAUGCUGAUAGCUCGUUUGUUCCAUUUUGCUACCCCGAAGGAGGUAAACAUACUCUUACCCCUUUUAACUUAUCGAUUUCUUCUUUAUCCCUCUUUCUUUAUGGUAAUAUUUGUUUGUUUGUUGAUGAAUAAGGCUGGGUUGUUCGCUGUAAAAAGCCUUAAAGGCCGUAGGUUUUGUGAAAGCAAUGUUGUCUGUAUUGUCUGGUUAUGAUGGUUUUGCCUUAGUUUCUAUUGCUUAUUUUGACAUUGUUGAUUAGUUUUGUCCUGUUUCUUAUUAAGUAUAGUGACCGUUGUGUGGGUCGAUGGUUUAUCAUCUAGAGUUGCUCCUUUGAUGGUCGUUCUAUUAUUUAUCUAAGUGUCAUUGGGUUUCAUUCGUUGUUAUUGUAGUCUAAAGUAUUUAAUGAAAAAUCCAAAGAUCUCUCGACGGUCGUGUCGUUUGAUCGAAAGAGAGGAUUAGAAUGAUUUGAUGACUCAUUCGUUGUGACUGUUUGACAUAGUUUUGGACUGUGUAUUUUCCUACUCAGCUGGUAACAUUGCUAGCAGAGCUGCCUCUCAAGUCUCUUUGGCUUCUCACGUGCCAAAGGGAUAAUGAGUAAGAGCCAAGAUGGGCUAUAAAUGCCUGUGAUUCCUCGAUGAUCAUAUCGGCUACCAAAAGCUUAUCCUUUUGGGUUUGUCGAAAAAAGAGUGAGGAUGAGGAUAGUAGACUUUGCUACGUUUCCAUUUGGUUUAAUGGGUUAUGUCUUUUGCCUCGUCUUAAAACUCGAAUUUUAGACUCCCAUCCUUCCUUGGGUUUCAUCCUCAGUGGGGAGACACAUUAGAAGGAUAAACAUGGUAAUAUUUUGGGGUACUAGAUAUUCGAAUGUGUCCUGUUCAGGGCAGUAGCCUAAUUUUGUUGUUAUCAUACUGCAUAUAAUUUAUGUUCAGGCUAAGGAUUCCCAAGGAUCUUUCUUUGUCAACAAUAAUCAAGAAGGUAGGGAUGAAUUUGCAUUUAUGUUACAUUCAAUAUAGGAUUAGGGAUGGGACAACACAUCAUAACUGUUUGUCUUCAUCCUGAAAUACCUGCUGCCAGGACCUAAUGCGGCAGGUAACUUAAGCACUCUUCCAGAUUCAAUUUUCCAAAUAAAGGCAUUUUAAAAUAGGCAUUUGGGCUAAUUUUGUCAUUUAAGUGAUAAUAAUAUAAUUUCGUAUUUGCAUAUACGAGAUUGUAUAAAUGAUGUCAUUUAAAUGAACAUCUUCAUCAAAUUGGGCUUUAAAUUAAGGAUUAUUUGAAAAAUAAAUAAAUAAUUAUAAUCUUAAUUUAAACAUCAUUUAUUCUGAAAAUAAUUUUGUUUGAUUUUAUCGAAUCAAGAAGUUUGGGGUUAAAACGGGUAUUAAUUCGUAUCGAAUUUAGUCUGUCUAUUAGAUUUGACCAUAAUUGAAAUCAAAUUGGCUAUGAUUGCAAUGCAAUUGACUAAUUAACUUUCAAUUUCGUUUAAAUUUAAAUAGAUGGCUAAAUUAGAACUGAAGUUAUUUCUGAACAACCUUUAGUCCAAUUGGGGUUUAUUUUUCCUAAAUUUAAUCGGGAUUAUUUUAACUUUUAACCCCAAUUAUUAACCCAAUUAAACUAAUACCAAUUGCCCAUUUCUUUUUCUUUUAAACGUUACCAGCCCAAUCCCUCCUAAAUAAUAUACUGCAGCCUCAAUUUGGCCCAAAUAUCCCAAUAAACCGCCCCAGCUAGCCCAACAAUAACAAUUUCUCCAACCAAGACCCCAACCCGGCCCAUUUCUUAUAAUCUUUAACAAUACUGCAGCUUCCAAACAGUGCCCAUAUCAACAACAAUCUCAUGAUCAACAGCUCCUAAAUCGCGAUGCGUCAACAACUUCGAAUCCGAUGAACCCAACCCAUCUAGCUCCACAUUUACCCGCUACCAACCCAUUCGUGGUCUUCCUCACUCCGUCACACUCGAGUCCAUAUGAGAAAGACCUAGAAGCUUCUAGAAAAGUGAUGCAUCAGCCCCUUCUAAUGUUCGAAUCGUAGAUCUUUCGGGUUGAUUGGUACGAUUUCGUACGUAGUUGGGGGAUUUUCAUUGACUAUUGAAUACCAUUUAUUUUUUCGAAAUGGUAUUGGUCCACGUAUUUCAAUUUCUUUGAAAAUUGGCAAUUGAUACCAAUUAUUAGUUGGAAAUUACAUCUUUAGUUGGAAUUUCAAAUUACCUCCACAGAAAAUCCUGAAAUUACCCUCGAUUGGUCUCUGUAGAGAGCUCACUGAUGAGCUGGGAAGGGGUUGGAAUUUUUGGUAGUCUAAAAAGGUUGAAAAAAAUUUAGGGUUUUCGUUUUCAGCUUGAGAGUCUCUUUUAGGGUUGGAGUCCUGGGAGUCAGAAAUUGGGUUUUCGACUUUUGGGGUUCAAAAAUCAGAGUUUGAAGAUCCUGGGGGUCAGGAUUCUUUUUUAUGUUCUCUUCUUUGAGGGUUCAAAUUUUUGUCCAGCAAAUUCUAGGGCCUUUAUUCAGGGAAGACAGAAGCCGUGAGAAACGAAGUUUUUCGAAAGUCGGGUUAGGAACUCUAAAAUCAAAAAGUUAUUUCGCAUAAUUUUCUCGUCACUUCUUUCUGGAAGCUAGUCACUCAAUUGGGAGUACCCGAGUUGACAACAUCAAGUUCCCAGCAAUGAUUACUAUGCUGAUAGCUCGUUUGUUCCAUUUUGCUACCCCGAAGGAGGUAAACAUACUCUUACCCCUUUUAACUUAUCGAUUUCUUCUUUAUCCCUCUUUCUUUAUGGUAAUAUUUGUUUGUUUGUUGAUGAAUAAGGCUGGGUUGUUCGCUGUAAAAAGCCUUAAAGGCCGUAGGUUUUGUGAAAGCAAUGUUGUCUGUAUUGUCUGGUUAUGAUGGUUUUGCCUUAGUUUCUAUUGCUUAUUUUGACAUUGUUGAUUAGUUUUGUCCUGUUUCUUAUUAAGUAUAGUGACCGUUGUGUGGGUCGAUGGUUUAUCAUCUAGAGUUGCUCCUUUGAUGGUCGUUCUAUUAUUUAUCUAAGUGUCAUUGGGUUUCAUUCGUUGUUAUUGUAGUCUAAAGUAUUUAAUGAAAAAUCCAAAGAUCUCUCGACGGUCGUGUCGUUUGAUCGAAAGAGAGGAUUAGAAUGAUUUGAUGACUCAUUCGUUGUGACUGUUUGACAUAGUUUUGGACUGUGUAUUUUCCUACUCAGCUGGUAACAUUGCUAGCAGAGCUGCCUCUCAAGUCUCUUUGGCUUCUCACGUGCCAAAGGGAUAAUGAGUAAGAGCCAAGAUGGGCUAUAAAUGCCUGUGAUUCCUCGAUGAUCAUAUCGGCUACCAAAAGCUUAUCCUUUUGGGUUUGUCGAAAAAAGAGUGAGGAUGAGGAUAGUAGACUUUGCUACGUUUCCAUUUGGUUUAAUGGGUUAUGUCUUUUGCCUCGUCUUAAAACUCGAAUUUUAGACUCCCAUCCUUCCUUGGGUUUCAUCCUCAGUGGGGAGACACAUUAGAAGGAUAAACAUGGUAAUAUUUUGGGGUACUAGAUAUUCGAAUGUGUCCUGUUCAGGGCAGUAGCCUAAUUUUGUUGUUAUCAUACUGCAUAUAAUUUAUGUUCAGUCUAAGGAUUCCCAAGGAUCUUUCUUGGUCAACAAUAAUCAAGAAGGUAGGGAUGAAUUUGCAUUUAUGUUACAUUCAAUAUAGGAUUAGGGAUGGGACAACACAUCAUAACUGUUUGUCUUCAUCCUGAAAUACCUGCUGCCAGGACCUAAUGCGGCAGGUAACUUAAGCACUCUUCCAGAUUCAAAUAUUUUUUUUGUGGCCAGGUGUAAUUAAGCUGUUGUCAUUGUCGAGGUUAUUAUUUUAAGUGAUAGAAAAAGCUAAAAAUUGGAAGAAAAUUGGUUUUCUUCGAAAGGGUAAGAAGUCAGCUACGGCUGCGAAUCAUGAGACAAACAUUAGGGAUCUCGUUCUCCAGGCUACUGUUGUGUGCUUUAUGCUUCGACUUCCUGAUGUUUACCUCCUUGAUAGAAUUUAAUAGCAUGUAAAUGUCUUCAAAACCUCGUCCAUCUGCUGACUAUUAUGUUUAGCUCGACAGAAUUUUGAAAUCAGUUUUCCUUUAGUGGUGUUGUUGGAGUGACCGAACAUGAAUCAUAGGUUAUUCUGAUCAUGAACAUCUCUCAAACAAACUUACAGUAUGUUAUGCAUUAUCUACGUUGUCCCUCAUCAUACGCUCUUGGGUACCAAGCAUGUCGUUUAUGCCAGAAUGUAAAUAAAAGUUUGCAUCAAGACAUCAUUUACUUAGCAUGCUAUUUGACUAUAUGAACACACCCUCAUUCUUUCUAAUUAGUCUUUCCUACAUUUUUGCUUUCUCAUGUGAUCGAGUAUAAGUGGUCGCUCUAUGCUUUAUUUCUUCAAAUGCUCCUACGCUACAUACCUUAUUUAUUUCCUUGAUUGGAUUUUUGUGUUUACAUUUUUCAAUUCCCUUUCUUUUUUUAGUUGAUCAUGUCUUUACAUUCUUUAUCUCUCCUGUUUUGCAUGAAUCCACUGUGGAGUUCAAGUGGACUGUCUCCGGUGCAUCCCUCAUCGGGCCAAUGAGGCCUAUCUUAUUGAGUCCAGUCCAAUGACCUAAAAGUGACCCUGCGGUGAUGAAUACGAGGAGUUAGAAAAAGAAAGGCGAGUUAAAGACCCACAUUUAAAGUGGCUAAGAGACUCCGAAGUCUCAUUUGUUGUUUAAUUUGUUUAAGUAUUAUUGUCUUUAUUUUAUUUUUCUUAUUUAUUCAUCAUUCAUUUGGGCCACAAAUCCAAAGUUUUAUUUAAUACAAUUGGAGCAAGAUUCACCCCAAAGGCUCGAAAACUAGAUUAGGACAAGUGAAAUGGGUUGAAAUCCCAAUUAGAAUAGGACAGGUUUUGUUGAUUUGGGCCCAAUGGCCUAAAUCAUUUACUUUCUCCUCCCUUCCCCUUUUAUUGUUUACUUACUUAUUCAUUUUAUUUAGACUUAGUUUAAAAUCCCUAAUAAGUUGCCUAAAUCUAUUUUAAACAAAUCAUUUUCUAAAACCAAUCACUUUCGACAAAUUAAUCUUUUUCCGAAGUUAGUCAAAAGACGUUUUCAAACAGUCCAGAUAACCGCAAGUUAGCGGACGUUUUAGCUGCCUAACACCUUCCUAAAACGUU